UGCUGCAGUUGAGCUUUGUGAUUCUCUGCACUUUCUUGUUUCAAGAAUCUACAGGUCUUGAUUUCCCAUCAUCUAAAUGGGCUCUUGAUCUUAGUGUCUAUGGAGGCAGAAACCGAUUUCUAGUUCAACUAAACGUUCCUCAUCCCAAAACCCUUCAUGCUCAACCACCUCUGCAUAAUCCAUCAAGUAGAGAUGCGCCUUCCGCGC